rnacentral:rRNA from 1 species
GGCUACACAUGCAAGUCGAGCGGCAGCGGGAAAGUAGCUUGCUACUUUUGCCGGCGAGCGGCGGACGGGUGAGUAAUGCCUGGGGAUCUGCCCAGUCGAGGGGGAUAACAGUUGGAAACGACUGCUAAUACCGCAUACGCCCUACGGGGGAAAGGAGGGGACCUUCGGGCCUUUCGCGAUUGGAUGAACCCAGGUGGGAUUAGCUAGUUGGUGGGGUAAUGGCUCACCAAGGCGACGAUCCCUAGCUGGGCUGAGAGGAGGAUCAGCCGCACUGGAACUGAGACACGGUCCAGACUCCCACGGGAGGCAGCAGUGGGGAAUAUCGCACAAUGGGGGAAACCCUGAUGCAGCCAUGCCGCGUGUGUGAAGAAGGCCUUCGGGUUGUAAAGCACUUUCAGCGAGGAGGAAAGGUUGGCGCCUAAUACGUGUCAACUGUGACGUUACUCGCAGAAGAAGCACCGGCUAACUCCGUGCCAGCAGCCGCGGUAAUA